CCAAAAACCCACCUUUUUUCUCUCCCCGCGUUCCCCUCUCUCUUUCUCUCUCUAGAUUUUUCUUGGGUUUCGUUUUCAACAAUUCGGAUCCAGCUCAUAAACCAACCAAAUCCAUUUCCUUUUAUGCUUCUAAAUUCUUCUUCCAAUGCUUAUCAUUUCUUUGUCUAUUUUCUUCAAUUGAUCCCCUUUCCGUUUCUUCUCUGUAAGUCUCUAUAGGGUUUCAAACUAUAUUUCACUAUUUUGUGAUUUUUAACCCCAUUUUCAUAUUUAGUACUAAUUUUUAGUGCUACAUUGCCGCUAAAUUGAGAGAUAACGAGUGAUUUUGAUUUAUUUUUUGGUUUAUUCCGAAUUGGGGAAUUAGGAAUUUCAAAAUGUCGGAGCAGGGAGUGGAAAAAUGAGUGAGGCGGAGAUUACGAGGAUGAAGCAAAAGACAACUCCGGUACGGUUAGGGACACUAAUUGGUCGAGAGUUGAGGAAUAAUGAUAAAUUGGAGCAGCCAACAUUGAAGUAUGGACAAGCUGCAUUAGCAAAAAAAGGGGAAGAUUAUUCGUUAGGGACACUAAUUGGUCGGGAGUUGAGGAAUAAUGAUAAAGUGGAGCAGCCAACAUUGAAGUAUGGACAAGCUGCAUUAGCAAAAAAAGGGGAAGAUUAUUUCUUAAUUAAGCC
rnacentral:lncRNA from 1 species